AGGAUAAACGCUGGCGGCGUGCCUAACACAUGCAAGUCGAACGUCCUACGCAAGUAGGGAGUGGCGGACGGGUGAGUAACACGUGGGCAAUCUACCUUUCGGUGAGGAAUACCGGCGAGAAAUCGCCGACAAUACCGCAUACGCUUCGCAAGAAGCAAAGUCGCAAGACGCCGGAGGAGGAGCCUGCGCCCGAUUAGCUCGUUGGUGGAGUAAUGGUCUACCAAGGCGACGAUCGGUAGCUGGUCUGAGAGGAUGACCAGCAUCACUGGGACUGAGACACGGCCCAGACUCCUACGGGAGGCAGCAGUGGGGAAUAUUGGACAAUGGGCGCAAGCCUGAUCCAGCCAUGCCGCGUGGAUGAUGAAGGCCUUAGGGUUGUAAAGUCCUUUUAACGGGGAAGAUAAUGACGGUACCCGUAGAAUAAGCCCGGCUAACUUCGUGCCAGCAGCCGC
rnacentral:rRNA from 1 species